rnacentral:rRNA from 1 species
GACGAACGCUGGCGGCGUGCCUAAUACAUGCAAGUCGAACGAGAGCGCCCGGUGCUUGCACUGGUCAAUCUAGUGGCGAACGGGUGAGUAACACGUGGGUAACCUGCCCAUCAGAGGGGGAUAACAUCCGGAAACGGAUGCUAAAACCGCAUAGGUCUUCGAACCGCAUGGUUUGAAGAGGAAAAGAGGCGCAAGCUUCUGCUGAUGGAUGGACCCGCGGUGCAUUAGCUAGUUGGUGAGGAAACGGCUCACCAAGGCCGUGAUGCAUAGCCGACCUGAGAGGGUGAUCGGCCACAUUGGGACUGAGACACGGCCCAAACUCCUACGGGAGGCAGCAGUAGGGAAUCUUCCGCAAUGGACGCAAGUCUGACGGAGCAACGCCGCGUGAGUGAAGAAGGUUUUCGGAUCGUAAAACUCUGUUGUUAGAGAAGAACAAGUGCUAGAGUAACUGUUAGCGCCUUGACGGUAUCUAACCAGAAAGCCACGGCUAACUACGUG